UACGUAGGGGGCUAGCGUUGUCCGGAAUCAUUGGGCGUAAAGAGCGUGUAGGCGGCCCGGUAAGUCCGCUGUGAAAGUCGGGGGCUCAACCCUCGAAUGCCGGUGGAUACUGUCGGGCUAGAGUGCGGAAGAGGCGAGUGGAAUUCCUGGUGUAGCGGUGAAAUGCGUAGAGAUCCGGAGGAACCCCAGAGGCGAAGGCGGCGCCCUGGCUCGCAACUGACGCUCAGACACGACAGCAUGGGGAGCGAACGGG
rnacentral:rRNA from 1 species